UUUAAAGACACAUGUCACCGAUAAGUAAAUCUUACACGCGAUUAAAACGAAACAAUUUCACGUGCCACGUGUUCGACGAUUUCACACCACUUGUCGACCAAUCGAGCCGAUUAUGCCUCCUGUACAUCUCAUAUCGCAAUUGAGCACCGCCGAUCCAACGUUAUGACGGGUACAGGUAGUGAGUUUAUGUGGGAUGGAAUAGCUGCGAUUCAAUGUACCAAGUUGCAACGGGUCGAGACCUUAUCGAUGCAUCGUGCAUCUCCUGCUAUUUCCAUUCCCCACCCCUCCCCACAUGGCAAAACCUGAAAACGUUUCCUUCGAGUAACUUUGCACUUACGCGUGGGAACACGUCCUUCGUUCCACGCCACCUCUUCCAAACCCUUCUUUCUCAUCUUAUUUCGUGUAAUGUUUCAAGGUCAUCGCCAUCAGAAAAUUAUAAAACUAUCCAAUUUCAUAGAUAUAAUAUUCUUACAAUUUGAUUAAUAAAAUGAUUUCUUCUAAUUUCAUAGAGUAAAGAGAAUUUCGUCUUUUCGAAUUUUGAGAAUUAUAUAUAUAUAAUUUACAAGACAAAGAAUUAAAAUUCGAGAGAGGUGAAAGUAAAUUUUUGAAUAAAUUCAACGUUCGAAAAAUGUUGCGAAAAAAUAAAUGAAUAUCCUCGAUCAAACGAUAUCGCGAUAAUAGAGCGAUACGCAGGAUCGCUUUCGUUGCACGACUUACAACUCGUUAAACUCCUCCCCUCCAAUCAUUUGUUUCCAUUAUGUCGUCUCAACGUUCCAUGAUAAAUCACCGUGACGCGUUGCGAAUCGCUUCUGCGCUGGUCCGGCCGCGGCCGUGACAAAUUGUGCCAGAUGUAAAUCGUUUUAAUAUCGCCUCGAAGAAUCCGCGGCCACGAAGGCCGGAAAGAACCGACCGCCGAUCGAUCACGGAUCAUCCCGCGUUGCCGAAUUCUUUUACGGCCGCGUCAGAUGCCCCGGGUGAACGAUGACAACCGCUCCUCGAAGAUGGACCCCGCUUUCGUCUUUCGACGGCCGUGACACCGUCUCGCGGGAUCCGCCGUGACGCCUCUUGUGAAAAACAAUGUAUCCGUAAAACGAAUUCGUUAACGCGAGUGUUGCAAAAAGUGAAAAUUGUUGGAUUAAGUUUUGGAAGGAUUGGGAGCCUCUGUGGUUCCAUUCUUCUUAUCGAUAUUUUUUUUUUUUUUUUUAACGUUAACGAAGAGUUGUUUUCGGUGGGGCGAAUUGUUUUGAUAUUUUUAUUUUUGGAUACGAUUCUUGUUACAGUUUCAUUCGUAUUUGUAUGAAUUAAUGUUCUUGAAAGUGGUCAAGAUUAGAGUAAUUGAGGGCUUUAUGAAGAAGAUAUGGAAGAGUUUAAUUUAAAUUGAGGAAUUUAUAACGAAAAAGAGGUAUUACAUAUAUGUACGUAAAUAACGUGAUAUGAAAUAUGUUAAUACAUUUAUGAUUUAUGAUAAUAAUCAGAGGGCUAUAAAUUUUCAUUGUUUAUUAAAAAGUAUAUAGUAAAUGAAACCAUAGAAAAAUAAUUACAAUUUACUACAAAUUAUUUUAUCCGUAACUUUUUAACUCAAAUAAUAUAACAGAAGAGAAGGGAGUAGAAAGAGAAAGGAAGUAUCUGGAUACUUUUGUAGAGAAUCUCAAAAGUAAAGACAGAGGAUCUUAAAGGAUCGUGUAUUCACGAAGGAUAUAUAACGGCAACCGAGCUUUGUGCAUCGGUCGGCCAUAAAUCAGAAGAAAUACGAGGCGACUUUAAUGGUCGUAGCGAUUUUUAUCCGCCCUUCGAGAGUGAGCUGCGAGAAGAAGAAAAGAGAAGAAAAAAAAAGGAGUGAUCCUUUUGCACGUGAAGUGUUGAAAAUAUUAAAAUAGGGAGCGAGUAUUCGGGACUAAUUACGAGAAAUUUCGUGAUUUAUGUCGAGCUUGAAUCAUCUUUUUGAGAACUCGUUGCAAAAUUAUCAACACGUAUGAUCAAGUUUGACUAAUGAAUAAGAUGUAGCACAACAUUGUUACUUUAUCGAAAAUGGAUUUUCAUAUUUUUAUUAUUUAAUAUCUCAGUCGAAGAUACUUUGUGAGAUGAUUUAUAAAUCGUUUCGUGUUUCAACGAUGGGAAUUGCAAGCAUUUCAAUUUGAUUUUCUCUCCAUGAAAAAUAAUCGAACGGAAUAACUGAAAUUUUAAUGUAAGUCUCUUUCGAUCUCUUUCCAUUGGGAUCGAAGCUUUCGAAGAAGCGAAUUUAUGUCUUUUCGCUUCAGUAGAGCGUAGUAUAUUGUUAACGGGUGACUCGAACUCGUGGCAGAAAUAUUUCUCAGAGUGGAGGCUAAGGAUAUUCAAUUCUGGCAUAGGUGCGAGUAGUGUUUUGUUACACAAAGUUACGAGGGUUGGGGCAACGAACUAUGGAUUUAUCUGUGUAUUAAGAAUAGAUCGCAGCUUUUUACAUAUAUAAGUCGUUUUAUUGCAAAUCAACAUUUACUGGCUGUAAUUAUCUUCUCUUUAAUAAUUUGCGUAAUUAAACGUUCACGUUCAUCGAUUUAGAAAUAGAAAAAUAUACGAUCUGACAUUAAAGAAAAUUAUGACCAAGAAAUUUAUAUCUGUUCUCACGUUUGAAAAUUUACAUUUUAUUAAUGCAAAAUAUCCACUUCACGAAUUUACGAAUAUUAAAAACACAAAAAGUUAGUUGUCUUUUAUAUCUUUUGAAAAACGUAAAUCAAUGGAUACAGUCAUAAAAAUGUAUUUCAAAUAUAUAUAUAUAUUUUUUUAUUUCCAAUUUAUAGAGAUUUUACGAGUGUCGCUAUUAUUUCAUAGAAUAUUCGAAAGUAAAAAAUAUUUCCACCAUCUUUCUUCCAAAUCGAUCGUUUAAAAUCAGUGAAAACAUUUUUAUACAAGUAGGCGUGCAAGACAAAAAAAAAAAUAUAUAAAUUCUAACCAACUGUAAACGAAUUUUAAAUUUUACACCUAUAAAAAAUAAACCCACGCUAAUAUAAAGGUAUAAAACAAAACAUCGUUUUCAACUUAUCAGCCUCGUAAGCUCUUCGAUCAGAGAGUAACGAACAUUUUUACGACAUCGCAGCAUCCAUAGUUGCACCCAUCCCAGAACUCGAUCGUUCAAUCGAUCCAUUAUCACAUCUCGGGAAGAUCUCUGUUCCUAUAUUCAUCGUUUCUUUCCUCCUCGACAAUCUCAAGGUUUCUUUCGGAUCAACGAACACAAUGUUCAAUCGAUAAAAUCGCGCAUCUAUAAACCUAACCUCAACUUUCCAUAGAUCGCUAUAUAUCUUUCUCCUAUAAAAUUAUUAUUUAGAAUUUAUAUACUUUUAUCGUACGCGUGAAGGAAAAAAAUUUAUAUUCAUUUCGUUUAUAUUAUUUGUCGCAAAAUACUAGAAAGAUCUGUAUAUAAAUAUUUCUUCGAUUCCAAUAUCACUGGAGUGAUUCAGCGUUAAUUAACGACACGUGUCGCUUCUGCGAGCGUAUUUAAUUCCGAGUGAUAUUCCGAUCGAGAGCUAAAUGGUCUCGGCUCGAUCCGAUUUGCAUCCUCGCUACGCUGUACUUGGACUUAUCUCCGACAAGCCUCGUCUCUUGUGCUUUUAGUUGGAAACGAAUCGCGUCGUCUUUCUGAACACUUUGUAAUUACCGGCCGUUGCUCAGCCGCCAAUUUACGAUUCCGACUCGAGCCGAGUCGUCUUAUUGUGCAAAAUCAGGCGCGUAAUUUAACCUUAUCGAGCUUAACUCUUAGAGUAUCGUGUUUGGAUAUGUUUUAAUACAUGUUUUAAUCCAUUUAAAGUUAGGGAGUUAUUUGAAGAACAUCUUAUCUCGGGAUUAUCUUAGAUUGGUAAUGGUUUGAAAAAAAAAUUGUGUACAUUUUACUUCGUAUGUUUCGAAAAGGAGAGUUAAUUCAAGUAUAUUUAAAAAAUAUACUCUAUUUUUCUCAAUUUUUAAUUGUAAUUAGAUUAUUAGGGAUUACACUUGAAAUUAAGAAGUAUUUUCAUUAAUUAUCGUGUCACAUUUAAUUUUAAUCUUGUUCCUCGAUUCUCAUUCGUAUUCAUUUCAACAUGUUUCUUUAUAUUUUAUUACGUUCAUUCGAACGACGACUUUAUACCAUCUUUUUUUUUUUUUUUUAGCAACAUUCAUACAUAUAUCUUCGUCAAUUUAAAGUCGUAUUAAUUACACACACGCCCUGCACACGCAUUCAUUUAUGCACUCCUUUUAAAUACUUGGCAUACCACUCUGCUCUCAUUUGUCACGAACUGAUUUUUUUUUUUUUGUUCAAUACCUUGAUGAAUGUGAUGUAUGCAUGCGAUCGAGUAAUUGUACGCGAGACAUUUGUCAAACAAGUGUGUAGAAUAAUUUCUGUUUAAUUUCAAAAUAAGAUACGUAUCCAUCGCCACUGAUAAUUUCCUUCUUUUUGUUUCAAUCCUCGUACAAAUUGGAAUAAAUCGAAUAAAUAAAUUAAUGAAUAAAAAUAAGGAAAAAAGAAAAUAAACGUGUUUCGAAACAAGUGAUCUUCUUUUUUCUUUUUUUUAAAUGGCACGAAGGUAUGCUUAAAAUUAAAAUGGCAUCGAAAAGCGGCCAACGCGAUAAGGUUCGCGGUUUGUCACCAAGUAUCCAGUUACGAUGGUUGUAGAAGCCGAGUCGAAAAAAUAAUCCUCACGCGUGUGACAGGUAUAUGGACACUGAUUCGCGAAGGUCGUUCAAUGCCACCCUGAUCCUGCUGAUCCUAAAUCACGAUUAUUGCUCCAUUCACACUCAAGUUUCUAAUGAUACGCUUUUUUUUUACCAUAGAACCAACGACCAAGAGAAAACGAGCCUUUCUUUCACGAUUUAUUGGCCAACAAAAAGAAUUUUAUAAGGUCUUAAAAUAAAAUAUGGUAUACAUAAUGUUUCAUUCCUCACCAAAAACUGUCUGUCAUCCUUUUACGGUGCCAUCUUGUUCUUGUUUCAGAACCCUUUAUAUCAAAAGUUUAGCCAUGUUUUUAUUAGCCAGUUUUAUAGCGUGUACGAAUUUUUAUUUUUACGAGUGUAUCCAUAUGGGGGGGUGCGUUUGAUAAAAAUAUAGCGAUUAUCUUAUAAAGGAGUAAGCUUGUUCUUUAUGCUUUUUUAAGCAUCGUUGGAUAUCGUUUUUAUUAGCCGUUUGUAUAAAUUUUUACAUCGAUCCAAGUCGUGAACAAGUUUGAUCGAAAAAGAAAAAAAAAAACUUUUUCUCGAUGCAUCGGAUAAAAAGAUUAGCUCGCUCGGAUUAUUAAUAAAAAAAAAAAAAGGUUGAAAGAAAACGACUCGUUUCAAUCAAAAAUAACUUUUCUUUCCCGUUUCGCAAAAUGCAUUAAUCCUCGCACACCUCGUAAUUUCCUCGCACAUCCGGUAACCAUAAUCCUCGAGGCUUCGAGGAACUCCUUGAUAGGAGAUUUGCACAAAGUGUUGGUUGAUGCUAAUAAAAAUACGAGCAAGCUGUUCCGUGGCGUGUAUAUAUACGCGUUUAACACAUUAUCCCUUACGCCCGUUACGCAUUACGUUCCGGGGAAUUGCACAGGAAAUAUGUCACGUUGCGCGUUCAUAAAGAGCGCUUAAUUGCUCUUAAGACUCUUGCGCUGUCGCUGCACGGAUCCUCGGGUUAUCCAUCCGGUCUAAAUGAAAUCGCGCAAGUUCACCUUGAGGAUGGGAUCGAUUUAACUUCUCGUGAAAAUCGUUUUUGACGCCGUUCUCACUUGUUCGUCCUUUCUUUUUUCUUUUUUUUUUUUGCCUGGUUUUAUUUCAACUUUUGUUCUCUGUAAAGUAACCUCGCUCCUUGAAACGAAAUUGACGCUCUCAUUAAAAUCAUUUUCGCGUUUUAAUUCUGGCCGGGAUGGCAGAAUGAUAUUACGAAGUUACACGAAGUUUCAAAUUUCACUUCUGAACGAUCCGUUUAUUUGCAAUAUUUUUCAUUUACUUGAGAGAGAAGAAAAUUCAAUUUUAAAAAUCUUCUACAUUAAAUACAUUUACUCGUUUACUCAGAAUUAUUUUAUAUAAUUGAUAUAACUAGAAAUAUAGCACGACGAAAGGGAGUUAUAAGAAGCAAUUCGAAUUCAACAAUAUCGGCUCCUAUUCGAAACCGAUAUACAAUAUGAUCAAUUCAAACCAAUCAUCUUUCCAAUUCGAUUCUCCGUACCGGAAUACCUCGUAAUCUUCGCCAAUGACUCCGCAAAAUGUCUUCAAUAUUUUCAAUCGAGAGCGAUUCGAUUGUUCCAUUGGGAACAAGAAACGGGUUCACGCCUCGUAGAAAAAGAAAAGAAAGAAAAAGAAUGGAAGAAAAGCUAUUGGAGAGACGAGGCACUUCGACGUUCCGGUAUCAUCAUCGCGGCGAUUCGAAAAAUUCGAGGGAGCAGGGGCCUGGCCGACCGCCAGGCGCCAAAAAUUUAAAUUGCCGAAGGUAAAGGGGAAUCCCGAUCGAGAGGAAGCCAACGAGGGAGGCGUCGCGUGCACAAAAGGAAAACGGAUGCGACCCGAGAUGAGCCAGGACACGUGGCCUGCUUCGCUUCGGGCAGCCAGUUUAUUCGUCCUUGCGAGGUCUUCCAACCCUGGCCACGACUGGCGUCAACGGCCCAAAUACAUAUAUGACGCAAGGAAUUGGCGUUUAGAUCCAUAUAUAGGGUGUUUCCAGAAACACUUCCCUCUGAAAUUAUUCGUUUUGCAAUUAUUCGAGAUCUAUUUAAGAUUUGGUAAUAGUUUUGUUAAGUCUUUUUUUCUAAAUUAUUUUACUUGCUUUAGUUUCAUCUCAGAGACAAUUUGUUAUUUUUAUUCGUUAAGAUUUAAGGAUAGCAAGGAUAAUCAAUUUUUGAAACAAUCUGUACACUUUAUUUUUAAUUUGUUAUCGCUUAUUAUUUUUAGUGACUGUUAUUAAUAACACAACUUCAAUAUAAAGACAAAUAUAGUUUAAUAAAUUCUGAAAUAUCCUGUACAUUCAUAUACCAAGAAUAAUUAUAAUUAUCUAAUAUUAUUUUUAGUGGACUGUGGAUUGUUAAAUGGUUUGGAAAAAAAACAAAGCGAAUUUUGAAACACGUUGUAUAUUCACAAUGUAUCAAAGGUAUCUACAUUUAAUUUCUGCGAUCUACGCGUCUACGCUAAACAAUAUCAGACAUAACCUCAACGCGGGUAAAAGGGAGCCAAGGAUUUAACCGGCCACAAGUGAAAUUCUGCACACGUGGACGUAACUCUCGGGUGGUUUUAACCAGGCAACGAGGAAAACCGCAAAGUAUCGCGGAUCUCUUUUUAUCGAAUUCGCCAUCGUGCGACUAAGAUCGCUUCGGGGUAUUUCGAGGCACGAUGAUAAAUCCUCGACUCGGGAAACGUUCUGAGUGUGAGAAUCGAUUGCUUUUCAAAUCUUUCAAAUUUUUGGCGCCGAUUUUGAAUGAUAUUAAUUGUAACGAAUAAUAAUUCAGCGAAACUUUUUCUCAACAA